ACACUUAAGGACUCCAAGUUGGUGUCCUAUAUUCUUGCUGGUUUGGGUCUAGAGUAUGACUCAUUGGUCACUACGGUCAUCACCCGUAUUGAACCCAUUUUUCUUGAUGAUUUGUAUGGAUACUUGUUAACCUAUGAGC